rnacentral:rRNA from 1 species
GAUGAACGCUGACAGAAUGCUUAACACAUGCAAGUCAACUUGAACUUCGGUUUGGGUGGCGGACGGGUGAGUAACGCGUAAAGAACUUGCCUCACAGCUAGGGACAACAUUUGGAAACGAAUGCUAAUACCUGAUAUUAUGAUUUUAGGGCAUCCUAGAAUUAUGAAAGCUAUAUGCGCUGGGAGAGAGCUUUGCGUCCCAUUAGCUAGUUGGAGAGGUAACGGCUCACCAAGGCGAUGAUGGGUAGCCGGCCUGAGAGGGUGAACGGCCACAAGGGGAAUGAGACACGGCCCCUACUCAUACGGGAGGCAGCAGUGGGGAAUAUUGGACAAUGGACCAAGAGUCUGAUCCAGCAAUUCUGUGUGCAAGAUGAAGUUUUUCGGAAUGUAAAGUGCUUUCAGUUGGGAAGAAAAAAAUGACGGUACCAACAGAAGAAGUGACGGCUAAAUACGUG